AGAGAUGUAGCUCAGUGGUAGAGCACUUGCUCAGCAUGUAGUGGGCCCUGGGUAAAAUUCCCAGCACCCCUA
rnacentral:tRNA from 1 species